UUGCACAAUCUAUUAUAGAAUCUCGUUAUAAACAAAAAUUAUAUGAAAAGACAGAAUGAGAUCUAAUGUAUUGUCACUUAAGUCUUAUAUACACUCAUACGUCAGGUGCGACGUUACGUUUGAUCUUGUUUCAUUUGAUUACAGUAUGUAAAAAAGUUAUACGUCUACCAUAAUUUUCAUUUUUAACAAAAAAAAAAAAAAAACAGAUACAAAAAAGUAUAACACGAAUACACGAUACCUUUUAAUUUAUUUCAAUACGUAAUAUAAUAUCAUAUUCUACUGAAAAUUUGAUAGUUAAAAUAUAUACUCUGAGGGAACUACGGAGCUAUCAUGGGCACUACUACAUCUCUCAGUCAAGAUCUCGUUAUGAAACGAAAAGAAAAGAUAAUUUAAACUAAGUUAUAUUUUAUAUCCUUUUGAAGGUUACUUCAUGGGCAUUUCAUAUAAAACAAGAAAUAGUUUUUUCAUUUCUGUUAUGUGAAAAAAAAAAAGAGAGAUAUGAUUGAGAAAACAAGAAAGAAAGAAAGAAAAAAAAAAAAAAAGUUGAGAUGAUAUUACAUAAGCACCCUCUUAACAUAAACAUAACUCACAUAUUCUCUCUUUCCUUAUUACACAAACUCCAUAAAAACUCACAUCUUCUCUCCUAUCCUUUUCAACUACUUCCCUCUCUCUCUUAAUCAAAUCGAUUGAUGAAGAUCAGGUGCGACGUCUGCGACAAAGAAGAAGCGUCGGUGUUUUGCACCGCCGACGAAGCGUCUCUCUGCGGUGGCUGUGACCACCGAGUCCACCACGCUAAUAAACUCGCCUCAAAACAUCUCCGUUUCUCUCUCCUUUAUCCUUCUUCCUCAAACAACUCAUCUCCUCUCUGCGACAUCUGUCAGGUACCUUUCUAACUUACUUCGGACAUAGGUUUAUGUCUAACUCCGUUGAUCUGAGAGUUUCUUGUUUUUUUUUUGUUUUUUUGAUUGAUAUGUCAUAUGUAGGAUAAAAAAGCUCUGUUGUUUUGUCAACAAGAUAGAGCUAUUUUAUGCAAAGAUUGUGAUUCAUCGAUCCACGCGGCCAACGAACACACGAAGAAACACGAUAGGUUUCUUCUCACAGGGGUUAAGCUCUCUGCUACAUCUUCUGUUUACAAACCCACUUCAGAAACUUCUUCUUCUUCAAGCAGCCAAGAUUGCUCUGUUCCUGGAUCAUCAAUCUCUAAUCCUCCUCUCAAGAAACCUCUCCCAGCUCCUCCUCAGAGCAACAACUCCAAGAUCCAACCUGGAGAUGCAACGAUGAACCAGUGGGGAUCUACAAGUACUAUUUCAGAGUAUUUGAUCGACACCUUACCUGGUUGGCACGUUGAGGACUUUCUCGACUCCUCCCUUCCUCCUUUUGGAUUCUCUAAGGUUUGUUCAUCUAUGCUGAUCAAUAAAGAAUUAAAGAUCCUAAGUUUAGUUGGAUCAAGAUUUGGUGUUUUAUUAGCAACUUCAGUGACCCCUAAGAUUAGUUGGAUCAAGAUUUGGUGUAAUAUCAUUAUCAUUUCAGAUCUAAUUGAGAUACAAAGAAAAGUAGCAAAACUUUAUAGAGAUGUACAUAGAGAGAUCUUCUGCAUAUUUUUGGGUAUAUUUGUCUUAGAGUUAUGAAAAUAGAUGGUUUGUUUUCUUUAUCUGGUGGGUUAUUCUUUUAUGUGAUUGCAGAGUGGUGAUGAUGAUGGAGUGUUGCCAUAUGUGGAAGCAGAAGAAGACAGCACUAAGAGAAACAACAACAAUACAGUGUCACUUCCAUCUAAGAGUUUAGGGAUUUGGGUCCCUCAGAUUCCACAAACCCUUCCUUCUUCAUACCCAAAUCACUACUUUUCUCAAGACAGCAGCAAUAUACAGUUUGGUAUGUACAACAAAGGAACAUCACCAGAAGUACAUUCUUAUACUCCAAUACAAAACAUGAAACAACAAGGACAGAACAACAAGAGAUGGUAUGAUGAUGGUGGCUUCACUGUCCCACAGAUCACUACUACUACUACUUUUACUCAUCCUCCUCCUCUUUCUUCUAAUAAAAAAUCUAGAUCCUUCUGGUAAUUUUAUAAUCUCCCCUACAUGGGUUCUUUUUUGUUUGUUUGUUUGUUUGUUCGUUUGUUGCUACUUGAUUUCUUUCAACUUCGAUCUUGAUAGAACUAGCAUCUCUUUUUUGUUAUGUCUUUUGUAAAUUUGAGUGUGAUUGAGGUUUUGUUGUUUUAAUCUUUGUAAUAAUCCUAUAUAUAUAUAUAAAUAUUCUCUUUGGAUCAAAAGAAUAAUAUAAAUAUUCUCUUUUCGUUUACGCAAAAUGUUCUUACUUAUCCUCUGUAGUACAAAAAGAAGCCUAUGACUUGUUUUGUUGAAAUUCUCCAAAGACUUGUUUUGUUUUGUUUUGUUUAUGUUUUGCUUCCAUAAUAUAAAGAUAAAUUAAGUUAUUUAUUCAAUUAUCAUCGAUAUUAUUAGUAUUUGCUUUCUCAAGGGAAAAAGGUAGGUCAAAUAUAAAGUAAGUUCCAAAUUCGAUGAAUGAAAUCUAGUGGUAUAUAUGUAUUUUUAGUAUGUGAGGACAGUCUUUUUCAACUUCUGCCUCUUGAGUCCCCAUAGCCCAUAUGGGGAAAGGAUUGUUCUUGGAUUUGGUUGGAAUUAUUAGAUUUGGACAAUGAAGGAUAGUAAAAGAAGAUAUAUAUAUAUAUAUAUAAUGGAGACAAAUUCGCAAUAACGUGCCCAUCACCAUCGGCAUAUUUUUGUUUCUGAGUGAAUAUGCCUCCAGAGCUCUGAUGACUGAUGACUAAUGACUAAUGACUAAGGAGUAAGGACACAUCAUCAGGGCAGCCAGCCAAAACAAUAGUACCGACACGUCCUCUACUCGUUUUAAUUAGCAAACUGUAAUUGGUUUAACACUGAUAAGAAUAUAGUUAUUGGUAAGCGGAAAGAUGGGAAAAAAAGGAACAAGAACAAAUAAACGUCACCUUUACUAAGCUGUGUUAAACGGGCCUAAGUAAUAUAUAGGCCUAUGUUGGAUUUCAAAAAUGUUAAACCUUCAGCCUUUUUCAUAGGGUUUUUUACUUUUUAGUAUUUCUCAUUGUUUGGAGUUUUGGACUUUGGAGUGUUUUGUUGGGUGCUGGCGAAGGCAUUAUCUAAAAAAACUUUUGAUUACAUGAACCGGCACCAUAAUUAUGCCGAAAAAGAUGAAUGAUUAAAGUUUGAGUCAUAAAUGCUUCAGAGAAGGCUCUAUUCUACGGUCUCAUAUUUUGGAUAUAUUGCCUUUUCCACUUUCAUAUAAACACUCACUAACACUAAGCUACUGUGAUCCAAUGAUAUAUAGUCAAAAAUAAUCAAGAGAUUGUACAUUGGUCAUUGUCAGUCAUUGUCAUACAUUCGUACUCUAAAAUAGAGGUUGAUUACUAGUUUCUUUUUUUACGGUUGAUCAAGACAGGCCUUGCGUUCAAACACACUAAAACAACACAGACUUCUCUCAAAAGAUGUUCAUUAUAAAAAGCACAAAAAGAAAGUCUUUUACACUGGAAAUUAAAAUGGCAAAAGAAAACUCUCAUAUGAGAAUUCUUUUAUGAACGUUUAGUUCAUUAUAAAGUUCCAAAAAAAAAAACAAAAAAAAAAUCAGUAUCCUGUCUAUUUUUUUGUCAUCAUCACUCGAGAAGCACCCAAAAAAUAUUAGUAAGAAAGAAAACCGCAAGAAUUAAAUCAAACAAACCAAAAACAAAACCCACACCGAAGAGACUGUAAGAUAAAUCUCAAGAGCUAGCGACGGCAAUGAGGUUUGCAGAGAAAGAGACAGUCGUAAAAACAAAAACCUCCGCAAUGUUGAGGACAUUCCAAUAUCUUACCUCUGCAUUUUCCUCUCCCUUUGCACUCUGCGUAUUCUCUUUUCACAAACUUUCCUCUUCCUUCUCUUCCUUUCCCUCCACGGCCGCCAGGCCCGCCACAACCCCAUUUGUACCAUCCUCCUCCGCCUCCUCCUCCUCCCCAACCCCAUCCUCUGCCGCCACCCCACCCCUCCUCCGCCACCACCUCCCCCUCCUCCUCCACCGCCGCCGCCGCCUCCACCCCAUCCCCAUCUAUAGCUUCCGCUUCCUCCACUGUAACUUCUUUUCUUGUCCUUGAUAUGUACUUCCGUGGUUGUGUUGUUUGUAUCAUUAGUGUUGUUGUUGUUCUUUACCGUGUCUUGAUCAGUGGAACGGACAUGCCCACUCACUAGUUGGUUAUUUUGCAAGAUUACUAAGAUCAGGAAGAUCACCAUAACCACCAAUGAAGAGGUUGUCUUCAUUUUUCUUGAUUCUAGUUUGUAAGUGACUACUUGUUUUUGCUUGAUUUGAUAUGAUAGCUUCGUUUUGGCCCUCUAUUUAUAGUGCAUUUGCUUUUUGUUGUCCCCAUAUAUAAAUUGAAAAUUCAUAUUGACAGAUAGAUUUGGUCCUUUCUAACCAAAGAACGUUAGGUUUGGUCCUACCAAGAAUAACGAUUUUUGUCUUCAAAAUUAAGAAGAGAGAAGAAUAUCAUAAUUAUGUUUUUUUUGACAACUUAUUAUGUGCCUUUUCUGUAUAAAAAAAAAACAUUCAAUUACUAAUUUAUGUGUCUUUUACAAAGUACAAACCCAUAUUGACCAAAAGUAUAUUUUACAAAGUAUUUUAGCAUUUUUUUUUGGGAAUAUUAACAAAAUGGGCACUUUUCGAUUCCUUUCUUUCGAAGAAGGACCUCAAUACAGUAGUCACGUACAGCUCAGCAAAAAUCUCUUGUUCAUGACAUUUUUGUCCUUCUUGUCACCUACACACAAACAUCAAGCCAUGGUGUAUCACAAGUCUGUAAAGAGAUAAAACUAUACCCUAAUAGCAACUUAAUCAACCCAAACCAAUUUUAAACAGUUUGCCAUCUAUUACAGUCUGUUUCAAUUUUUGUAUUGUGUUUGUUCAACUUCGUUAGAUAGUGUUGCUGAUUUGAUUUGUUUUCUCUUUGGUUCAAUCGAUUAUCAACGACCGUGAAAACGGAAGGCCAAGGAGAUUCGUAUUCGUGACUUUCAAAGAUGAGAAAUCAAUGAAGAAUGCGAUUGAAGGAAUGAACGGACAAGAGCUCGAUGGACAUAACAUCACCGUCAACGAGGCUCAAUCACGAGGAAGCGGUGGCGGAGGCAGCCGUAGAGGUGGUGGCGUGGAUACCGCAGCGGAGGCGGUAGUGGUUACAACGGAGGAAGCGGUGGAUACAGCGGUGGCGGUGGAAAACGCGAGAGAGGAUACAGCGGUGGUGGUGGCGGAGGUGGUUACUCGAGAGGAGGUGGCGGCGGAGGAUACAACAGUGGUAGAAGACGUGAAGGAAGAGGAAGAGGAUACGGUGGUGGUGAAUGAGGAGGAUACGGAGGUGGAAGCGGUGGAUGGUAAUUCCCUUAAUUAGUUUGGGGAUUAUUACACAAUUUUCUUUAAUUUUUUCUUUCCUUAAUCGCCGAGGAUUGUGAUCAACUAACAUCAUCUGAGAAGAGGGUAGAACAGACUUUUUACACUGGUUGAGUACCUAUUUUAGAAAGAACUGUUGAAAAUAGCUAAAACGAAAGGAUAUGUUAAGAAAAGUGCCUUAUUUAUAAUUAACUCUUUUUUUUUGUGCAACACCAAAAGGUUUCUUAUAAAGACGAGAUAUUUCACAUUUAUUUAUGUCUUCAUUAUACUAUAAGAUUGGACUUUCUUGAUUGUCAUAUGAAUAGGUUACUUAUCUAUAUAGUUUAACUAACAUAUUUUAGGGAGUUUUAUAAUAUUGUUAGUACAAGAACAUAUGAGAUCCCUUAAGUAACACUACUAGUGGUGGUAGUAGGCUAGUCCACCAAUCAAUUCUGCAAGUCUUCUCCUUCAAUGAACAUCUUUUCUUUUCUACAAAAAAUUACAAAAGCAAACUUACGCAAUGAUAAUGUCACUAACAAAUUUUUUAUUCUUUUUACCAAUGUAUAUGAGUAUAUAAAAAAAACAACGAAUAGAAAGAGUGUAAAACAAUUCAUUCCAUUUACAAAUUAUUAUACUCAUUGUCUCUCUACAUCUUUUAUAAUUAUAGUAGCAUGAACUGGAUACAAACUCGCAUGCCAUAUAAAACCAAAACAAAUACAAACUCGCAUGCCAUUUCAUGCUCUGCAAGUUGGUAUUUAAGGAGUAUUAGGUACGGCUUGUUUAUAGGUUCCUUUUACGUUAUCCAAUUUCAUUUCAUCUACUUGUAGAUAGAUUAUUAGGACCAUCUCUCGUCUUCUCUCCCCACAAGCAAGUUCAUCGUUUAAUAUAAUGUUAUCUUUUCCGAAUUUUGUGUAAUCUACAAGUCUUGUACUAGAUCGCCUAAUAAAUGGAGUUUGACUGAACGGAUCGCUUACAAAAGACAUAUACUUUGCAUGCACGAGAUUUGUCCUCCUUAAACUUAACUCAAACCUACAUGGCUACAUCGUAUCUCCAUUUACUCAACGUUGGGAGAAAACAAAUAAUCAAAAAUUUUGAUUUCUAAUAAUAUUGCAUCACACUAAACUGUUCAAUAUUUCAUACAACACAAUCAAUGUCUCAAAUUUCCCAAAAAAAACCAGUCUUUGAUUCACUCCAAUAGACAAAAACCAUGAAAAAACAACAAUGUAGCACAAUCAAAAGAUAAAAGGGUGAAGAAGAAUGGAACUACAACUGGUAGACUUCUAGAACCUCAGAACCGGCGGAAUCCACGGUCAGCGACUCGAGCAGAUGGGCACUCGUAAGCCAUGUGUCCUCGGCCACCACAAUUGUGACAUAUUAUCAUAGCACCAACACCAUCCCUGUCUCUGUCUCUGCCCAUUCUGCUGAAACCAUCUCUUUGCAUACCACCACCUCGAGCCCUGCUUCCUCUGUCAGAGUAAUUGGUAUCCCCUUUUGGGCAUUGUCUAGCAACAUGGCCCGAAAUGCUGCAGAUGUUGCAAACCGGUUCGUUACGACAGUCGCGUGCUAUGUGACCUGAAGUCCUGCAGUUCUUGCACGCCUUGUCGUUUGUGCAGUCAGCAGCGAGAUGCCCCGGUUUAAAGCAGUUGUUGCAGAGCCUCAAGUCUCCUGAACGAGAAUCCGAGUUAGGGCAGUCUCUCACUCGAUGUCCAGAUUUGCCACACGAGUGGCAGAUUCCUUCGUUUGAACAGUUUGAGGCUACAUGGCCCGGUUCUCUACAGUUCCAACACCGUGAUUCUGCUGUGCAUUCUGCUGCAAUGUGCCUGCAGAGAGAGAGAGAGAGAGAGAGUUCAAGGAGCCAUAAUGGAAAUGCGUAAAAACAGAGGAAAUUCAGUAAUUAAGUAAGGGAGGACAUAUAUACCCCGGAAGGCCACAGUUGUUACAGACAGAAACAUUAGAACAGUCUCUUGCAAAGUGACCAGGUCGCUUGCAGUUGUUGCAGAGAUUUCCUUGGCUGAACAAAAUGAUUUCAACAACAUCAAGAAAUUGUGACAAUCAUGUCACCUCAUUGAAUGGAAUAUAACUUCAUCCAAAAAGAAUGUAUGCAAGAAAACAUUUGAACUAAAAGUCUAAAACCAACCUAAAACGCACUAUCAAUUUAAUCAAAGAAACAACCGGAGACAAACAAUGAAAGAAAAACCUGAAGUUGACCCAGUUUUUAGUCUAAUCAGACCAUCUUGAUCAAAGAGUAGAAGACAGAAGAAGGCUUUAGAUCAGAGAAGUUAUUCAGCAAGUCAAAGUCAUAAUUAAGAUAAGCCUCUAUGUUGGCUAAGUUCUUCUAUAAGCAUAGGAUUGCGGCUUAACCUCUAGAACGGUUAGUAUGAGAAGGUUAAUAUAGAUUAUCGAAGAGAAGCAAUGGUCUUGGGGUCGAGAGCGAAAAGAGCAGAAAUAGUUAAUAGUGAAGAAAGGGUCAAGACAUGAACAAAAGAGGACCUGAAAGCACGACGUGGCUCCCUUCUAGAAGGAGCAUCACGGUAAGAAAUCCGUUCAGGUCUCAUUCUCCUGUCUCUAGGACUCCGACUACGAAUGCGAUCACGACUCCGACUCCGACUUCUGCUUCUGCUCAUUGAACUCAUUCCCCUCACCCAAACAACGACAACUUUAACAUCAAACACCUGCCAACAUUCAACCACACACCAACAUUACCUCCUUCACACUCCCAUACAUCAAAUUCUUCAACACAACUCUCCAAAUGCUUCCCGCAAUACAAUUUUAUCAACAAACCCACAAACAGAUCAGAUCUGAGUAUCCCCCCAGACUCCGUAACACCAAUUAUUUCUUGCAUCAUCGUCCCAAACCACUUUCAGAAAUUUCCACAGCCUCAUAAACCUAAUGGGUUUCACAAAAAAUCAAAGCUUUCCCACUACUAUAAACCAGAUUCAACGUUAUCACAUCGUCCUGUACAUCCUAACAGAUCUUAAAAAUCGGAAUUUUUAACCUAACAACAGAGUAUGAACCACCCCAAGCUAGAACAACAUGAAAUUAAAUCUGAGGAAAGCUUAAGAGCGCAAAAACAAAUAUUAAUCCUUAAAACAAUUAAGAUAAAAGGAGGAGGAUGGAGAAGACAACGAACCUGAGCUAGAAACUUGGCCGAGAAAUAAUCCUGUCCGGCGAGAGUAAUCAAUAAAUCUAUAUAUAUAUUUAUCCCUCCAUACCUGUAUUCGGGCUUGGCCUUUUCUACUGGGCCGAAUAAUAACAUUACGUUGGGCUUCUAAAUCUGCCAAUUAUUUUUAAAUUAAAACGAAAACAAAAAAAUACUCCGUUGCCGGGACUCGAACCCGGGUCUCUCGGGUGAGAGCCGAGUAUCCUGACCAGCUAGACUACAACGGAUUUGUGUUUAAGUUCGUCUAUAUAUUUAUAAACCCUAUAGUCUAACAACUGUUAGUUCAUAAAAACCAUAUGCUCUCUCUCUGGAUAAAAACCAAAAAAGAGAUUCCCCAUGUAUAAAUAUCGUGUGGUUUCUACUUUCCAAAAACAAAAGUUCAUAUAGUUUAAAGAAAAAAAAAAAAGGUGAAUUCAAAUGAUGUGUGUACCUACUUUUAUAAUUAAGAAAAAGCAUAUUGUAUAUAUGUAGCAUAUAUAUAGGGGUGGUUGAUAGUAUAUUAGGAGAAUCGUUUUGGGUUGUUGUUAAUGUAUAUUCGUUAGGCAGAAACUUAAUUCUUGGUCUCUUAUAAAAUUGUUUUCAAACAUAUAAUAAUUGUCGUAGUUAGUAUAUUGAAAAAAAGGGAACACUGGCUAGGGCAGAAAUUGAUGAAAUGGUAGUUGUGUCUUGUAAAUUGGCUUGAAAAUAAACAUGAUGGUCCUUUAUGUAUUCUGUGUCUAUACCAACUACUCCGCCGUUGAAGGGACCCAUCAGCAUCGGUAUUAGUUUCUCUACAAAGACAAUAAAAGUUUUUCAGUUUUCAUGUGACCAAUCUUGUUGAUGGAACAUGCGAGUUUGGUUUCAUUCUAACGAUGAGAUUCGCAGUUCGUUAGGAACCUUGUUCCGUCAUCGCCCCGUUUCAAUGCAUUUUCAAAUGAGACAUUAUUACUUACUUAUUUACCAAACAAACAUAACAAGAAAAAAAAAGAAAAAAGCAUCCCAUAAAAGUGUUAUAUAUAUCAAUGUUGUAAGUUACGUCGUAUACUGGUUGGACAACAUGUCAUCCUAUAGCAUUAAUUUAGACGUAUACGUGCUUUUUUGCAUGGACGAUGUUAUACGGAUAUUUUUUUUUGUGCAAGACAUAUUUAUAUAUACAAACAAUUAGACUAUUCCAUUUGGUUUGUAUAUUUAUACCAUAUAACAUAACAAAACAGUUUCUUAUACCGUGUAUCAUAUGUAAAUCCUAUAGCGUCGAUAUUUUUGUCAUCUAUAUUGUUUACAUUUCAAAGAGAUAAACUUUGCUGUGAUUAUUUAAAAAGAAAAAAGAAAAAAAAAUCUAUAAGAAGAGAGAUGCGGUGAAAUGAAUUUGAGGAAUAAGACGAAAAAAGCACCACAAGAAGAAAAAAAGUAUACGGCUAUUGCAUGUGCAUGUGUUUGAUUAAUAUGCAGAUAUAUUAAAUUCGAGAAGCCGUAGCCGGUUCGAGUACUGUCAUUGUACGAACGAGACACCCUUCCAAGUCCUUAUAUAAUUAUCUAUCCAUCCCUGUUUUAUAAAAAAUGAUGUCCUUAUAUAUUUAAGUCUCAUCAUCCACACGAUGCCGCUUUGGUUACUAUUCAUGAAUCAGGCUCGAUCCUUUGUUAUAUUGUACAAACUACAAACAACAAAACCCGUCACGGCUUCCACUGUGUUUUGUUUUUGUCUUCGUCUCACACUCAUGUACUAAUGUUAUUCACUUCUUUUUUUCUAUAUCUUUGCCUUCCGAGUUUUACGCAAAAAAAUUGUUUUUGUUUCUAGAUAUAGUUUUGUAAUAAAUGAAGUUUAUAUAUGCAAACAAAUUUUAUAUAAAUUCCUAUACAUAAUAUUGUGUGCGCAUUUGGGUUUUUAGCGAUAUACGUAUUUCUUUUGCAUAAUUUUCAAAGCCAAAAAGAAAAAAAAAUUGGUGGCUAUUAUGGAUGCAGAGAAAACGAUAAAACCACGUGCAUAAGUGUAUUAUAGCCUCACCGAGAUAGUUGAACGCAGGAGAAGUUAAUUUGCAUAAUUUAAUUUCGGGGUAGGGAGCUAAUUUAACACUUGCAACUUGGAGCUAUUAAUUUUUUUUUAUAUCAGAAAAGUUUUCUUGUUCAAUAAUUUAUCAAACUUUCAGUCGCACAUAUUGCUGAUAAUUUUUAGAUGAUAACUUUUAGCUUUAAAUCCCCAAGAAAAUGAUAUAAGCUUUUUUAAAAAUGGACCACGUACGAUACCAACUCACAAAGAUGGCAACGUGACUACUUAAUUAUUUAAAAAUAUAUUAAUAGUACAAUUUGAUAUGAUACGAUUUUGAUGUUUGAUUUUGAAAACAUACCAACAUUCCGUUUAGCAAUAUCCGUCUAUGUGAGCAGUCCUGUAUGUGAGUUUUGACUUGAUAUGAAUGGGAGCUAUAUACAUAGAUUAUACAUAUUGGUUCAUUCAAAUGAGUUCAAAACUUUUAUGGAAAAUAUUGUAACAAUGAUUAGUGAAAGUGAUAUAGAUCUUGAAAUCCAAAGAAGGUUAAAAUUGUAGAAGUUGAGAAACGCAUGAAGAGUAAUUUAGGAGAGCGAGCGAGCAUGUGAGUCAGUUGAGACAGUUGGAGAGUCUCCACUUUGGUUACGACUUACGACAAGUUUCUUGGUUUUGGUUUUGUGGUCCGAAACAUCGACCCCUUCCCUCUGCUUCUUUGUUUUUCCAUUUUGUUUUUGACGCAUUUUAAUAUUACUAUAAAGAUUCAUUGUAUAUGGUUUUCCCAAGUGGACAGAAGUUAGGUUGUACGUGUUACGAGAAUACUUACCAUUGUUUUUUUUCUUUAAUUAUACUAACUUAUUCAUCUCUCUCUCUAUCUAUAUAAAAGUAAUAGGAAAUAUUAUUACUCACUAGUGGAUCAUUGGGUACAACAACAACGCUCCUUUUACCCUUGUGAAGUUUCAGCUUUGAUGUCCUUUUCUUUUAUUCUUCUAGAUUCACGGGUUCAAUAACCAACGAUCGUGGUACUUUUUCGUACUUCCUCUUUUCUUUUUUUUUUCAUUUGAAGAAAAAUUUAGAGUUUUGUGAUCAAAUUUGCAGAUAUUAAACGUAGCAUAACCUAACAAACCGGAAAGAAAAAAAAAAACGUAAGGGAAAGGGAAUUUGAUUACCUUGCUUGAUGUCUCUCUUAUAAACAUGAUAAAAAUGUUGUAAUGCAAAAUAUCUUUGAUAUAACAUUGUCUAAAUCAAAUAUAUCGAUACAAUCUUUUACCAAAAAGAAAAUAUAUAUAUCGUAUAAUAUAAUAUCAACAUUUCUUUGUACAAGAUCUACAAAACGUCAGUUAUAUGUUUUUACUAUAUAAAGAACGAUUACCUACGUUUUACAACAAAACUCAGGGAUGAUUAACUUUAUAUUAUUAUAAUGUAAAAGUAGUGAUUUCUUUUCUAUCGUACUGUUUGACAACGUGCAUGAAGUAACACGUUGAGUGUUUCGUACGUGUGAGCUUUGCUUGUUAAUAUAAAUCCAAUACUAACAACUUGGAUUGAAAGCCUACUAUACACGCUCGAUGUAAGAUAAUUGGGACAAGUAAAUGGGAGAAUGUGUCAAGAUAACCCAUAAAGCGGAGACAAUAAAAGAUAAAAUAUUACGAUUUUAAAGAAAACUAUACAACAGAUUCGAAUAAAAACCCUAAUCAACCUCGAAGGAUGAGAACAGAAUUUAGUUAAUAUAAUCGGCGAGCAUGCAUGAACCAAAAGAAAUACAAAAAAUCAGUAGCUAGUUUAGUUAGAUAGAUAUUCAAAUACUAUAUUCAAACCACAAAAAAGGUGAAAAAGAAGAUGUAAUAUGCAUCAAAACCGUCCGUCCAACAAAUUCCACACAUAUUCGUCUUAAUUUAGACCCCACAGCUCCACAUGCUUUGAAAAUACAAUUCACAUUUUUUUUAUAAAUUAUUAAUUUAAAUUACGCCUCUAUUUGUAUAUAAGAAAAUAUGAAUUCAACAGAAGGCUCUCUUGGAGCGAAACCAGAUGACCCAAGCGGUCGUUUUCGAGUUUUCUACAUUAUAUCAUCAGUUCUGCAACAAAUUAAAUAAUUUUUAUCAUCUAAAUGCACAACAAAUGGUCACCCGUAGCAUACACGCAAAUUCAUAUUCAGAUAACAAACACAUCAUAAUCUCCUCAACGCCUCGAUAUCACCAUCAACCCUCUCUCUCUCUCUCUCUCUAUACAGUAUACAUGUUGUUGUGGUUGUGCAUAAAAUAAUAAAUUCGUAUAUACAGUUUUAUAAUAAUUCCGUAUAUUCUUUGUUUCGGAAAACGAAAAGAAGAUUUUCCACUCGCGCAAGGCCUCAAUAAAUACACCCAACCAUAAGUCCAUGAGCCCUCCUCCUUCACUCUAAUCACACUCACCAUCCUUCAUUGUGAAAAAAAGAUCUCGAAAACUCAAAAACCACACACAAGAAGAGAACCAUCCUUUUGAAGAGAAUGGCGAUGAAAAAAGCGAACAAGCUGACGCAAACGGCGAUGAUCAAGCAAAUCUUGAAGAGGUGCUCGAGCUUGGGGAAGAAACAGAGCAAUGUAUACAGCGAGGACGUAAACGGAUCUACUCUUGACGUGCCUAAAGGCCACUUCGUCGUCUACGUCGGUCAGAAUCGGGUCAGGUACGUGGUGCCCAUUUCGUUUUUGACCAGACCAGAGUUUCAGCUUCUUCUCCAACAAGCAGAGGAAGAGUUUGGUUUCGAUCAUGACAUGGGUCUCACUAUCCCUUGCGAAGAAGUCGUUUUCCGAUCUCUCACCUCCUCCAUGCUCCGAUGAACAUAUCUUUUUUUAGGGCUAUGAAUUUUUUUCCUAGUUAUAUAUAUUUUGGAGAUUUGAGAUGUUUUUAGGGUAAACAGAGGAAGCUGCUGAGUAAAAUGCUUCUCUGUUUUAGCAAAAAUCUUAAUUAUGGUUUUGGUUAAUAUGGGUUUAGUAGUAUUAGAGUGAGACUAACCCUUAGAAGGAAAAAAAAAACCUAAAAUGAGAAUGAUUACUAUUUUUGGUUAUCUUCUCAGAUUUACUUCUCAUGGUGGUGUGGUUUGUUCAAUGUGUACCCUGUGAGAGACUUCUUAAAAAAAAAAAAAUAUGAAUGAGAGGCUUUUUUAUAUUAUCAGCUUUUAAGUAAUUUUCUUUUAAAAGAAUUAGUGAAUUGUUGAGAUUUUUGAAUGCAUGAUAAUUGAAUUCUAGUCACGCGGACUCAGUCAAAUAUCUCUGCGCCCAAGUCAAUAUGUAUAAUGUAAACAAAUUCCCAAAAAGAGUUCUGUUGAAUGGUGAAGCUAGUAAAGCUGCUAUUUUUUCAGGCUUGUAAAAAUAAUUGAAGGUGUUAAUAAUUACUAUAAAAUAGGUGAAUGUGGUUUCUCACUUUUACAGUUUAAGUUUUUGAUUAAAAAAAAAAAAACCAAUGCUGAGAUAGUUUACCCGAAAGCAAAGUACGGUAGUCCUUGAAAACAGAACAAUAAGACAUCGUCGUUACGUUCUAGAGUUCUGUCUCCCUCUCAAAUAAUCUCUCUACAAAUUUACUAAUAUGUUUCAAUAUUUCUCAUAUUUUGGCUUUGGAAAAAAAACUCCGAAGUGUUGUCUUUUUGUUUUUUUCUUUUAAUAAAAGAAACAAUGCUGGUGUCUCUUUACAAAUCGGCGGUUUUUAGCCGUUAAAUCUGUUGAAAUGACAAAAAGAAAAAGAAAAAUCUUGAUGGGAAUGUUAGUUGCAGACUCGUUAUAACAGUAUAAAUAACUAUAUAUAGAUGAUUCUGCUAUGUGUUGAGAAUCGUAAAUGCCCCAACUGUUUGUAUUAACAACGAUAUUAUAAUAAGGUAAGCUAGGUAUUUUGAAAACGCUUACCUGUUUCUAUAUUUAUUUAAAAGUUUAUAUAUAUAUAUAUAGACCCUAAAAGUUGUGUAGAGCAAACAUUUUGGUUGAUAGAUGGAUACAUUUUUGUGUUUGUUAAUUUUCAUUACAUCUAUAUUUUUAUAGAAUAGAAAACAAAAUUAAAAGCUAAUGAGGCUAAAAACCCUAGCCUAGAUGUUGAUGUUCAACCGCUUAAAAUUAAAUCUUGACAUUAUUGCAAUAUGGCAUUUACGUUUUAACUUCUUUAUAAAACCAUACAAACCUUUUCACAAAUGUGUGACAAAUCUUGAGAAAAAUAUAUACUUAAAGUAUAGAAUCUGCAAAAGUUUUACGUUGAUAAUCCGUCCCACACUCUGUGGGUAAUUUGAAAAAAAAAAAAAAAAAAGGUUUUGGAGAUGUCAAAAUCAACGUCAGGGAGGAAAGAUAAGCACAUGCGAAUGUGACCCACAACAAAGCUUAAGGAAAUCUCGUAUAUAGUAAAGAUGGAGGAACCCUACAAGAUUCUGAAUGGUGUUGCUAAUAAUAAUCCUCUAGAACACAGAGUGGUAGGUGAUGGAGCCAACUUCAAUUAUUUGGACGGCUUAGAUAUAACCAUUAACACUUGGACUUGUAUCAUGGGCUUCAAGAUCACGAUAAGAUUUAUCGUAUCGUGUGUUAUUUGCUUGCUUGCACUCCCCAACUACGAUUGGACAUAAACACCCCGCCCCCCCCCCCCCCCCUUCUCUCUUUGCCGUACGGUACUUAUCGGACGGACGGAUGCAACUUUUUCUUUUCGUUUCAGUUUGCUUAAUUUAAUCGUUUAUUUGACUAUGCUGAUUAAACCUAAAUCCGACCGUUCAGUUAUAUUUUUUUCACCAACCAUUGAGGUGGAACUAUAUAUUGACAAGUGUUACGGAAGAUGAACGUAUCAUUAUCAAUAUUAUUACGCAAAAGUUAUAUAGUAUGUCAUAAUAAUAAUAUCGUUUUCUUUAAUCCAUUUAUUACCGUACGGAGAUUAAUUAUAAAGGGUUUAGUACGGAUUUGAAGAUCUAGUAUAAUCUGCUAGAUUUAUUCUCCAUUUUUUCCUUACGGUCAUCGACUUUAUAUAAAAUAAAGGAGAAGAUGUGUCUUUUCCCCUUGGACAUUAUAUAUUUGUGAAACGUCGAAAGGCUAAAAAGAAGAUGUGGUAAUGCCUAAAUAUUGGAUGAGAAUGGGUCGGUAAAGAGAUCGCAAUCCCACCAAGUCCGAAAGUGCUACAUAUCCACUAAUUAGUAUAUCAUUACACAAUUUUUUUAUAAAAGAAAGAAAAGGAACGCACAAGAUAUUAUCCCCUUUUUUUUUUGGCAUCAUUACGACUACGACGAAUCAUAUUUUGAAUUUUUAUUAUAUCUCAUAAUGUGAUAACAAAAAAAUAGAAGUAUUAAAAUUAGACUUUGUAAUGAAGUUGUUUUGAUGUAAUAACGAUUACAACCACAUCAACCAUAAAUUUCACUGAAUGUGACAAUAUAAUAUACUGAAUAUAGCUAAUUCUCUUUACGGAAGAAUCAGAUCGGUUAUAAGGCAAUAGUACUAGAUAGUAAAUAGAAUUUAUACGGUUAUAUUUUCAUUUAUAUUGAUUUUUAAACCUGUUGUAUAUAUUUACUUUGGACUCUUAACGAUAUUAGUAUAUUUUGCACGAUUAGCAGGAUUAAAGCAUAUCGGACUGGGCCUCUUUAAGUGCCACCAUCAAUCUCGAUAGAGAGAGAGAGUUCUCUACCGAAUCAAACUAGUUAAUGUUGUUAUAUCUUUGAGGUGGCUCGGUUAAGCCUGAGUGGAUGGGUCUUUCCUCAAUGGACUUGGGCCGUAACAUUCCCGAUCCCGCAUGGUUACUAUAGGUGGAGAAACCAACGAAAAAUGUGCUUACAGGUUGAUAAAACCAAAGAACAUAAAUAUGAUCGAACAUGAAGUGCUUACUCUCCUUAAGUGAUAAUGUUCCUUUCUCAAAUCCCUGCAAAGAGCAUAGGCUCAUCCAGGGGAACAGAUAUAUGUAUAUAGAUCAGUUUAUAUCAUAGCUAUUGGAAAAAUUAAUCAAUUUUUGGAAUUUGAUCAGUGAUACAUUCCGCUAGCUGUGUAUUAUGUUUUGUCCCGAUUUGAUUUUUUUUUUCUUUUUAAUUUCAUUUCUCUGUUCUUAUUCCUCUGUUUGACUACCACAUUCUGUCCCGUGCAUGUCAUGAAUUAUUUGAAAUUACUAUUGGAUUAAUGAUUAGCCAUGCACGAGCACGAGGGUGUGGGGUGGGGGUAGCUGAACGUGAGAUGACCAAAGGAUAAUGGUACAAAUGUAAAGUUAAAACAAAGCUUUCUCAUUGGGCCUCUCUUCGCUGUCAUUUCGAAAAGAAUCUCUCAAAGGAUGAUAUUAGCUUCUCUUUCGGGUUCCACGACUCUCAUCAUUAUAAUUCUAAAAUAAUUGAUGUACUAGUAAAAGGACAUAUGUCUUCCUCGUUAAUGAUCUCCUUCCUGGCUACAACUAUCUUUAAUCCCAACAUUGUUCUUUCAGCCAUUUCGAGACUUCCUUUUCAAAUUCUAUUCAUCACAUUAAUCCAUUUUCGGACAAGAGUCAUCAUUCGUUGAAAUCUAAAUCGAGUAAAUUCGCUUUCGCUGGUAAAAAAAGGUUUUGUUGGUUCAUGAUAUUUUCAAACAUAAUAUUCAAUCGUUUAUAGCUAAAUUAAUGUGUGGUAGAUCCACAUAGUCUAUCAAGCAGCAUAGUGCAUAUUAUACCAUUCCUAGACUAAUGUAACUGCAUAUAUAUAUAUAUUGGUCCUUUAUACAUUCUUACUUCUGAAGUGUUAAUGUGGGGUGUAAAAUAUUGAAGUACAGAACAUGUUCAAGAUGUCCUAUAUUUGUGGAUGCUAGAGAAAACGGAUCAUGUAAUAAAUAGGUACAUCAUGACGAGUGCAAUAGAUCAAUAUAAAAAUUUGUUAGUGCUAUAUAAGAACUAUAUUGAAAUAAAGUUAAUUACACAUUCUAAAACCUAUACAUAGAAGACAAUACUAUUUAUACUUGAAUGGAAUAAUACAAUAUACAACUUUUUAAUCCUCUCAAGAUUACCUUUUUUUUUUUUUUAACUCAAUCAUAUUACAGAAAAACUUCAUAGGUUCGUUGUUUAUAUGUUCCUUUAUUGAUAAAAGACCUAAAUUUUCUUCUAUAUAAACUAGAGGGGGGAAGAGAAUGAAUCAGAACAGAAUCUAAACUAUCUAACUUUCAAAAUUCUAUAGGCUGUAUGAACGAACAUUCUAAAAGUAAGAGAUUACGGUGAUGACAUUAUGUACCGUAAUUUGUACUGCUGUUGGAAGAACGUGAAGACAGCAACAGCUUUGUUUUUGUGAGGAUGAAAACAUAGUAAAGUGGCUAUUACUAGCAGCAGUAUGUAGUCUUUUCCUUCACAUGACCUGGUCGGAUUUUUUUUUUCUUUUUUCUGUUUCCAAUCACUAAUGUCCAAAUUUCAAACAACUUUCGCCGAAGAAGUUAAACAAUAAAACAUUUAUAAGGAGUAUAUAUUGAAUCAAAAGAAGAAGUAAAUACUAUUAUAGCUGAUAGUUUCAAAAGUCACCUUAAACUAAUUACAAAAGUUUUUAUCCUAAUGUACACUGUUUAGUUUAGUCUAAACCGCACAUACUUUACAUCAGUUAGAACUACACUAACUCAACAAAAUUAUGAUAUAAACUCUUAACUUAUUAAUUUAUUUACUCAUGACUGAUUAUGCCAAUCAUAUACAGUACUAUAUAUUACCAAAAUUUAAUGUUUUUUUUUUUAAAUUACAGUAUGAUGAUUAUGAAUCUUCUAACCAUUUUUUUUCCUGUAGCUCAUUGUAAUUUAACAUUACCAGUGCAAUGGCAUAUUAUACUCGUUGAUUGUUAGAAUUAUUGAAAUGAUCUCCAACAAUAAUGAUUACUACAAUUUAAUGGAAAUUGCAGAAUUUACAACCAAUUUUAAAAAAUUACAAUUCUCCACAUAUAUCCUUAAACUUGGAUUCGAACCCGGGACGACUCCGGUAGAAUGACUCACCCACCUUUCACGGCCAUCUCCGAGCCACCAAUAAUUCAUACAUAUACACUCGCCGCCGCCUCCACCAAUAAAAUAAAUAACACAAAAAAAAAAAAAACCGAGUCAAUGGCGACGAUUAUUCAAAAAUUGGCUUCGUCCCGAGUCGAACCGGCUUCAGAAC
rnacentral:lncRNA from 1 species